rnacentral:lncRNA from 1 species
GGGAUAUUAUUGAUGUUGGUUGCCACUUUUGUUGUCACAAUUGUCGAGUCCUUAAGUAUCAAGUAUAAGGCUAAGCUAUGUUUAUUUUGUUGUCAAGCCCUAUGUAUUUUGUAAUGAUUAUAGGGAGCAGUCCUUUACAUUUUUUCUGAUGUAUAGCCUGCACCAGCAUGUCUUUAUGUAAUGAUGUAAUGUGUGUCCUUAAGUAAAGAUGUAGUAGGUAGUUG